rnacentral:rRNA from 1 species
AGGGCGUUAAGUUGCAUAUAAUGGGCCCGAAACCGGGUGACCUACCCAUGGUCAGGUUGAAGUGGAAGUAAAAUUCCAUGGAGGACCGAACCGACCUCCGUUGAAAAGGCGGCGGAUGAACUGUGGGUAGCGGAGAAAUUCCAAUCGAACCCGGAGAUAGCUGGUUCUCCCCGAAAUAGUUUUAGGACUAGCCUCAAGUUAGAUACCUGGAGGUAAAGCACUGAAUAGCCUAGCGGCCGAGAGGUUAGCGAAGCUUAUCAAACUCAGAAUGCCAGAGUAUUGAUGCUUGGGAGUCAGACAGUGUCAGAUAAAUGUCAUUGUCAAAAGGGAAACAGCCCAGAUCUACAGCUAAGGUCCCAAAGUCAGGUUAAGUGGAAAACGAUGUGAAGAUACGCAGACAACCAGGAUGUUGGCUCAGAAGCAGCCACUCAUUCAAAGAGUGCGUAAUAGCUCACUGGUCGAGCGUCUUUGCGCGGAGAAUUUAACGGGGCUAAACCUGACACCGAAGCUUAGGCAAUCCAGUAAUGGAUUGGGUAGGGGAGCGUUGUAUACGCGGAGAAACAGUAGCGUAAGCGGCUGUGGAGUGUAUAGAAGUGAGAAUGCCGGAAUGAGUAGCGCGAAUGCAGUGAGAAUCUGCAUGGCCGAAAGCCUCAGGUUUUUGGAGGAAGGUUCGUCCGCUCCAAGUUAGUCGGGAGCUAAGGUGAGGCCGGAAGGCGUAGCCGAUGCACAGACGGUAGAGAUUCCGUCACCACCAAAAGAGUUAAGCACAGGGACACAUUUGAAGUCUCAGAGCCGGGUGUUGGUUCCGGUAGAGAUCGAGGGAAGUUAGUACCGAAGUCUGAGAUGGAAGAUGGCGAGAAAAGCUGUGUGUAUUUCUGAGGUGCCCGUACCGCAAACCGACACAGGUAGGUAGGAAGAAGAUUCUAAGGCCAACGGGAGAAGGGUUGUUAAGGAACUCGGCAAAUUGACCCCGUAACUUCGGGAGAAGGGGUGCUCCAGAGAUGGAGCCGCAGAGAAUCGGCCCAAGCAACUGUUUACCAAAAACACAGGUUUGUGCUAAAUCGAAAGAUGACGUAUACGAGCUGACGCCUGCCCGGUGCUGGAAGGUUAAGAGGAGAUGUGCAAGCAUUGAAUCGAAGCCCCAGUGAACGGCGGCCGUAACUAUAACGGUCCUAAGGUAGCGAAAUUCCUUGUCAGGUAAGUUCUGACCCGCAUGAAAGGCGUAAUGAUUUGGGCACUGUCUCAACAGCCCGCCCGGCGAAAUUGUAGUACCGGUGAAGAUGCCGGUUACCCGCGACAAGACGGAAAGACCCCAUGGAGCUUUACUGUAGCCUAAUAUUGGGUUUCGAUGUUGCAUGCACAGGAUAGAUGGGACACUGGGAAACAGGAGCUUUGGCUUCUGCGGAGUGGCCGUUGGGAUACCAUCCUUGCGAUAUUGGAAUUCUAACCUGCGGCUCUGAAUCGAGUCGGGGGACAUUGUUAGGUGGGCAGUUUGACUGGGGCGGUCGCCUCCUAAAAAGUAACGGAGGCGUUCAAAGGUUCGCUCAGCUUGAACGGAAAUCAAGCAAAAGAGUGCAAACGCAGAAGCGAGCCUAACUGCGAGACUGACGGGUCGAGCAGUAACGAAAGUUGGAGUUAGUGAUCCGGUGGUAUGUGAGUGGAAAUGCCAUCGCUCAACGGAUAAAAGUUACCCUGGGGAUAACAGGCUGAUCUCCCCCAAGAGUCCACAUCGACGGGGAGGUUUGGCACCUCGAUGUCGGCUCAUCGCAUCCUGGGGCUGUAUUCGGUCCCAAGGGUUUGGCUGUUCGCCAAUUAAAGCGGUACGCGAGCUGGGUUCAGAACGUCGUGAGACAGUUCGGUCCCUAU